rfam:Schistosoma rodhaini strain Burundi genome assembly, scaffold: SROB_scaffold0011201
AUCCAGCUGACGAGUCACAGAUAAGAGAAAACGCACGUCCUGGAU